UCCAGCGGCUCAGAGGCGCUCUGUCUCCAUUCACUUCAGAGUCCCACACACUCAAGGACCUGUGCAGACUGCUGCAAGACACGCUCUGAAUAGCAGCACUACCCGGACAACUUUCUCCCUUGUGGUUUUCUAAGAGGAUCUGCUCGUUUGGAUUAUAUUCUUCUAGGACUAUUAAACGCUAUUUUAGAAACAGUCGUUGGUUUAAUUAUAACAGCUGCGCGUCUUUUUUGAUAUUUCAGUGAAUCGGACUUAAGUUUUAAACCUGUUUUGUAGAUGGUGAAGGACAAGUGCAAUGCGCUUCAGACUUGUCUCUUGGGAUUGUCCCACUUUCGCCUAAGGAGCUAUGUCGAUCUGCCGCACUGAUCUUGUUCAAGAGGACGCAGUCCAAUGUGAAUAACAAGAGUCAACUUCCAGCCUCUUCAGAUUUUCACAGCUUCAAGCAAGUGCAGCACGGAGUCUGACUGAGCCCGCUGACACCCUGAUUUCUGCCCCCGAGGGGAUGGUUGUGGAUCCUGUGGGGCCAGGAGCGAUUCUGCGGCUCCUACAGAACAGCACAUUUUUCUUGUUCGUGGUUAGAUCUAAAUUACAGGGAGAUGAGACCCGCACUUUGUUACUUCCUGCUGUGGACGACGUACCUGCUGCUGGCCAGCUCUGAGGAAGUGGAGUUUCCCCAGGAGCUGAUAGACAGACUGUCCCACAGUGAAAUCCACAGCAUCAGCGACCUCCAGCGGCUACUGGACAUUGAAUCCGUAGGUGCGGGAAACAAUGUUAUCGAGGAGCCCAAGCACCACAAGCACCACAACCCCCACAAGAACUACUCCCGUCAACAUGGUUACUACAAUGACCUGAAGAGCUCCCAGCUUCACAGCCGACGCAAGAGGAGCAUUGCAGAGGAGGCGGUCCCGGCGGUGUGUAAGACGCGGACGGUGAUCUACGAGAUCCCCAGGAGUCAGGUGGAUUCCACGUCUGCCAACUUCCUGAUAUGGCCGCCCUGUGUGGAGGUGAAGCGCUGCACAGGCUGCUGCAACACAAGCAACAUGCGCUGUCACCCUUCCCGUAAGCACCACCGCACCGUUAAGGUAGCAAAGGUGGAGUACGUGAGGAGGAAACCCAAGCUGAAAGAGGUCUUUGUGCGGUUAGAAGACCAUCUGGAAUGUGUGUGCACGUCGCAACAUCACGUUGUGGAGCACUCAGAUGCAGAAACAGGCCACCGUAGGGCUAAAGGUAAAAAAAGGAAACCUAAAAAGCUAAGGCCCAGCAAGGAUUUAUUGGCGACAUAAUAAAGUUGCACUCAAUACCCAAAGUCCACUGGAGAGCUGUGAAGUGAACAGUGGACGUGAGGUGAGACCAAUCAGAACAAGGGACUUCAGCGUGGGAGGGACCUAAAUAGUGGAUGCCACCAACAGGACACCUGCUCUGUCCUUUUCCCCAUUGCCAUGCAACCUUUGUUUUAAAAAAACUAUUUUUUUUCUGCUAAGACAACAGACUGAAAAAAAGACAACAGACACAAAUAAACCAUACCAAAGGUGCUUUGUUAAAAACAGUAACCAACAGUGAUGAUGACUUCCUCUGUGGUACGCCACCUAACCGACAACUGAACCCUGCCGCUGAUUAAGAGAGAAAGAUGCUGUAGCCCGGGCAAGGCAGGAAGAGGCCGAAGGGAGAUGAUGAAAGGGAUUUGUGUUGAACAUUUGAGAUUUUCUUUGAAGAAGACACACAACAGAAAUGGCUAUGAAACUGUUGGAUCAAGCCUUGGUGGGAAUCUGGUGCACAGACUCCAAAACAGCGGUGGAUGACCUCCAGCUGGGCAACAUUUAAGUGCCCUGCCCUGUUUAAAUGACUUUUUUCAUACAUCGUAAGAAAAAAAGAGAGAUAUAGGAACAAAAACAUUGGAAAGAGAGAAAUAGAGAGACACAUGGAGGUGUUUGCUUUUUCAAAAGACUCAAACAUUUUUUAGUAUUUGGAUGUUUGCUCUGAUUUAAGAGGAGAUCUUCUCCGAGACCCUUGAGAUCUGUGACUUUGCCCACUCUGCUAUGUACAGUUAAAUUUGAAAAGGACGAUGCGCCGCUACUUACAAACUAUUUAUAUGUGUGGCCGUUUGCCUUCUAUCUCUUCCAGUACAAAAUAAAUAACAAAAAAUAUGUUUAAAUGAUUUUGAAGACAUGCAAGAAUUCAGGUUUUUGUAACCAUCAGUUUCACAAUCUCAACGUCAUUUGUUUUUUUUAGUCAAUGUCAUUGUUGUCAUCCAUGUUUCUUAUUAUAUUACAGUAUAUCUGAAUGAUGUCAAGUCUUGUAAAUGGUUUGGAUUUAUGUAUGAAAGGAGGAGAUGUGAGAGUCAGUACAGGAAGAUGCUUUAUUUUUGUUAUGAAAUACAUUAAGCUUACUUAUAUCCGA